CGGGGUGAGUAAUGUCUGGGAAACUGCCCGAUGAGGGGGAGUAACUACUGGAAACGGUAGCUAAUAUCGCAUAAUGUCUGCGGACCAAAGAGGGGGACCUUCGGGCCUCUUGCCAUCGGAUGUGCCCAGAUGGGAUUAGCUAGUAGGUGGGGUAACGGCUCACCUAGGCGACGAUCCCUAGCUGGUCUGAGAGGAUGACCAGCCACACUGGAACUGAGACACGGCCCAG
rnacentral:rRNA from 1 species